UUUUUUUAAACUCUGUUGAAAGAGGAAAAUCAAAAGAAAAUACUUAAAUUGAAUUGUAAAUAGUUGAGUUAUCUCCCUUUGUUUGAAUUUUUGUAAAUUUAUAAGUCUGCAAAAUUACAGCUGAAGUUAUUCUUUCAAGUUCUAAAUAUUUCUUAUUUAUAUCAAAAACUUAAGGAAUUUUAAUUAUGUUGCACAUACUGCCUUGUUCCAGACUGAAGUGGUACUUAAUAUACCUGUAUAGGUCUUGAUAUUUGCAUACAUGUGUAAUGUUGCUUACAAAAAUGAUAAUCUUCUAUUAGUAUCUGUUUUAUGAUGCAGCCAAGUCUGUCAAUACAGAACUAAUAAUUGGAUGAUGGAAUAGGUUUUGUAAUGUACAUUUAACUGGAGGAAAUGUUAAGAUUUGCAGCAGUGAUUAUGAUAUUUUGAAUUCUUAAUGUUAUUUUUAAAUUGAUAAGGCCAAAAGAAAUAUAUGUCUGUUUACAGUUACCUGACCAACCCUAUUUUUGAGCCUGACCCUAAGCCAUUUAAUUUCGUCGUAAAGUGAAAAAUAAACUGAACUUGUGUUAAAAGUGAAGAUAGUGUAGCCUGAUACAUCCCAAUGUACAUAAUCAUGAAUAUGACAGCAGUUUUAAGGAAAUUAGCGACUUUUGUGAUGAAAUCAACAUUUUGCCGCCAUUUUUUCCAAUCAAUAGCAAAGGGAAAUAAUUCAAUCAUUAAAAAUACGGGUAAACUCGGCCCAUUGACAACUCGGACCACGGCAAGACAGACCGCACAACUCAAAAUCAUGGCGCAAAAAAUAAAAUGAUAAUACCGACCUACCUACCCUAUUUAUUUUGAUGAUGUAACCUUAAACAGACAUAUAAUUUUUUUUUGGCCUAAUACAAGCAUCUCUAAAAUGAAUGAUUUCAUGCACACAUAUUUAAUGAUAAAGUAAUUCACCUUAAAUGAAAUAUCCAGUUAACUAUUGCAAACGAACAUUUAAAAAAGGAAUAAGUUACAUUGGUUUUUUUUAUUGUUUUGUUGACGCUUUUAUUUCGAAGAUAAAAUAAUGAUGACCUAUGACCCACAUGGAGAUGAGAAUCCAGUGAUUAAAAUCGCAUUUCAGUCUUAAAUGACAAAAUCACAAUAAUAAAUGCACGCAAUAAUUUCUGAAUCUACAGUAAGUCAUUAAUGAAUAUAAUGAAAGUACGUCGUAUACUACCAAAAUUCAAUCCGAAUUGACUCUGUAAAACACACCCAUUUUAAGUGUUCACCUUAAAUUGUUUAUAAUUUAUUUUUAUAUUAAAUGUUGUAAGUGAGUGUUUUAUUCUUGUGAAGAUAUCUAUAGAGAGUAGGAGGGUAUGGGAGAAUUUUAAAAUGAAUCUUGGUAAGUGUUUGUAUAUGUUACUUGUGUUUAACACUUGUUAUGUGAAUAAAUGUAUAUUGAUAACUUGAAAGGCAUGUUAAAAGCUGAAUGUAUCUUGUUUAUUUAUUGGUUAGUUUUAGGUUGUGAUUUUCGAUAACUUAUUUAGGUCAUAUGACAUUGCUAAGAAAACUAGUAAUUGAAUCAAUUUCUUUUUUUUUUUUCUAUUUUAGAUGUUUUUAAAUGUUAGAAAAUAUGAUAUUGGACUUACCUGCCACUGAUCAAACGUACCAUAUAUUGUCUUUCCUUUGUAGGGAAUUAAUAAAGCUUGUUUCCAUACAUACAUAGUUUGACAACUGAAUUUAACCCAUCUUAAAAGUAUUCUGUUGUUUCCUUAUUUAAGUUGUGUUGUAUAUAUAUUAUCAGUUUGUCACAACGAUUAUAAGAAGUGAAAUAAAGAAACAAAUUAACUGCAGAUUUCAUGCCCAUGAUUUAGAAAUAUGACUAUGAUUAAACAGUAUGUGGAAUGAGCUCAUUGAGAGAUCUUUAACUGCUAUUUAUUUUGCCUGAAGUUGAGAUUAUUAUAACAUUAUAUAAAUAACACAUAGCUGAGAGGUUGAUAGAGCAGAUUGGUACCCCGAGAAAACAUUGUCAACCGCGGCGAAGCCAAGGUUGACAAUGCUUUUUCAAGGGGUACCAAUCUGCUCUAUCACCCUCUCAGCUAUGUGUUAUUUAAUUUAUUAUACUAAACGUCCUACCAUUUUUGUCUUUUACAGAUAAAUUUUAUUUCAAAAGGAUUUUCUAUGACGUCACGUACAUAACAACGUUACGAGUAUUAGAAAUGUAAACAACAAGAUGUUGGGUUUUUUUAUUUUGACAGUUAAAUAAUAAAAUUUGAUCCAAAACGUCAAACUUAAGCAUUGUAUUCAACUACUUGAUGUAAAUUCAAUCCAUUGUCCUUUAAAUUGUCGAUUUUUGAUUGGUUGAGACGAGAGGGUAACAUUCAAAAAAAUUGUCACCCUCUCAGCUAUGUGAUAGAGUAAAAUGACACCCUCGUAUUAGCCAAUCAAAAUAUGGCAUUUUAACGUGAAGUAUAAUAAAUUUUAUUAAAUGAUACCUAAUAGUAAUUCACAAAUAAAAAUAUAUAUGUCUUCCCAAGAGAUUAAAAUGCAAUAGAUCUGAAAAACUAAUUUCUUUUAAAACUCCACCA
rnacentral:lncRNA from 1 species